GAUGAAGAACGUAGCGAAAUGCGAUACGUAAUGUGAAUUGCAGAAUUCAGUGAAUCAUCGAAUCUUUGAACGCAUAUUGCGCUCUUUGGUAUUCCGAAGAGCAUGCUUGUUUGAGUAUCAGUAAACACCUCAAAGCUCUUGGAUUUUUUAAUCGAAAAGCUUUGGACUUGAGCAAUCCCAACACCAAUCUUUUUGAGAUCGGUGGCGGGUUGCUUGAAAUGCAGGUGCAGCUGGACAUUCUCCUGAGCUAAAAGCAUAUUCAUUUAGUCCCGUCAAACGGAUUAUUACUUUUGCUGCAGCUAACAUAAAGGGAGUUUGACCGUAUUGGCUGACUGAUGCAGGAUUUCACAAGGGUCGGCAACGAUUCUUGUUAAACUCGAUCUCAAAUCAAGUAAGACUACCCGCUGAACUUAAGCAUAUCAAUAAGCGGAGGA
rnacentral:misc_RNA from 1 species